GACGAACGCUGGCGGCGUGCCUAAUACAUGCAAGUAGAACGCUGAAGCGAGGAGCUUGCUCUUCUUGGAUGAGUUGCGAACGGGUGAGUAACGCGUAGGUAACCUGCCUUGUAGCGGGGGAUAACUAUUGGAAACGAUAGCUAAUACCGCAUAACAAUGGAUGACACAUGUCAUUUAUUUGAAAGGGGCAAUUGCUCCACUACAAGAUGGACCUGCGUUGUAUUAGCUAGUAGGUGAGGUAAUGGCUCACCUAGGCGACGAUACAUAGCCGACCUGAGAGGGUGGUCGGCCAGACUGGGACUGAGACACGGCCCAGACUCCUACGGGAGGGAGCAGUAGGGAAUCUUCGGCAAGGGGGGCAAACCUGACCGAGCAACGCCGCGUGAGUGAAGAAGGGUGUCGGAUCGUAAAGCUCUGUUGUAAGUCAAGAACGGGUGUGAGAGUGGAAAGUUCACAAUGUGACGGUAGCUGACCAGAAAGGGACGGCUAACUACGUG
rnacentral:rRNA from 1 species